GACGAACGCUGGCGGCGUGCUUAACACAUGCAAGUCGAACGGUAAGGCCCUUCGGGGUACACGAGUGGCGAACGGGUGAGUAACACGUGGGUUAUCUGCACUGCACUUCGGGAUAAGCCUGGGAAACUGGGUCUAAUACCGGAUAGGACCACUGGCUGUAUGGGUGGUGGGGGAAAGCUUUUGCGGUGUGGGAUGGGCCCGCGGCCUAUCAGCUUGUUGGUGGGGUGAUGGCCUACCAAGGCGACGACGGGUAGCCGGCCUGAGAGGGUGACCGGCCACACUGGGACUGAGAUACGGCCCAGACUCCUACGGGAGGCAGCAGUGGGGAAUAUUGCACAAUGGGCGCAAGCCUGAUGCAGCGACGCCGCGUGAGGGAUGACGGCCUUCGGGUUGUAAACCUCUUUCAGCACCGACGAAGCGCAAGUGACGGUAGGUGCAGAAGAAGGACCGGCCAACUACGUGCCAGCCGCCGCGGUAA
rnacentral:rRNA from 1 species